UACAGAGGUGGCAAGCGUUGUUCGGAAUUACUGGGCGUAAAGGGCGCGUAGGCGGCUCGACAAGUCCCGCGUGAAAGCCCCCGGCUCAACUGGGGAACUGCGCGGGAAACUGUCGGACUUGAGUUCGGGAGAGGUGAGUGGAACUGCGAGUGUAGAGGUGAAAUUCGUAGAUAUUCGCAAGAACACCAGUGGCGAAGGCGGCUCACUGGCCCGAUACUGACGCUGAGGCACGAAAGCGUGGGGAGCAAACAGG
rnacentral:rRNA from 1 species